AUUGAACGCUGGCGGCAGGCCUAACACAUGCAAGUCGAGCGGAUGAAGGGAGCUUGCUCCUGGCUUCAGCGGCGGACGGGUGAGUAAUGCCUAGGAAUCUGCCUGGUCGUGGGGGAUAACGUCCGGAAACGGGCGCUAAUACCGCAUACGUCCUGAGGGAGAAAGUGGGGGAUCUUCGGACCUCACGCUAUCAGAUGAGCCUAGGUCGGAUUAGCUAGUUGGUGGGGUAAAGGCCUACCAAGGCGACGAUCCGUAACUGGUCUGAGAGGAUGAUCAGUCACACUGGAACUGAGACACGGUCCAGACUCCUACGGGAGGCAGCAGUGGGGAAUAUUGGACAAUGGGCGAAAGCCUGAUCCAGCCAUGCCGCGUGUGUGAAGAAGGUCUUCGGAUUGUAAAGCACUGUAAGUUGGGAGGAAGGGCAGUAAGUUAAUACCUGGCUGUUUUGACGUUACCAACAGAAUAAGCACCGGCUAACUUCGUG
rnacentral:rRNA from 1 species